rnacentral:piRNA from 1 species
UAUAUGUACAUAUGUGUAUGUAUGCA